UGGGGAAUAUGGACAAUGGGCGAAAGCCUGAUCCAGCCAUGCCGCGUGUGUGAAGAAGGUCUUCGGAUUGUAAAGCACUUUAAGUUGGGAGGAAGGGCAUUAACCUAAUACGUUAGUGUUUUGACGUUACCGACAGAAUAAGCACCGGCUAACUCUGUGCCAGCAGCCGCGGUAAUACAGAGGGUGCAAGCGUUAAUCGGAAUUACUGGGCGUAAAGCGCGCGUAGGUGGUUUGUUAAGUUGGAUGUGAAAUCCCCGGGCUCAACCUGGGAACUGCAUUCAAAACUGACUGACUAGAGUAUGGUAGAGGGUGGUGGAAUUUCCUGUGUAGCGGUGAAAUGCGUAGAUAUAGGAAGGAACACCAGUGGCGAAGGCGACCACCUGGACAAAGACUGACGCUCAGGUGCGAAAGCGUGGGGAGCAAACA
rnacentral:rRNA from 1 species